UACGGGGGGGGCAAGCGUUGUUCGGAAUUACUGGGCGUAAAGGGCGCGUAGGCGGCCUGCUAAGUCGGAUGUGAAAUCCCUCGGCUUAACCGAGGAACUGCAUCCGAUACUGGCGGGCUUGAAUCCGGGAGAGGGAUGUGGAAUUCCUGGUGUAGCGGUGGAAUGCGCAGAUAUCAGGAGGAACACCGAUGGCGAAGGCAGCUCGCUGGGACGGUACUGACGCUGAGGCGCGAAAGCGUGGGGAGCGAACAGG
rnacentral:rRNA from 1 species